AACGUAGGGGGCAAGCGUUAUCCGGAAUUACUGGGCGUAAAGGGUGAGCAGGCGGACAGGCAAGUCACAUGUGAAAUACCGGGGCCCAACCCCGGAACUGCAUGAGAAACUGCCGGUCUUGAGUACAGGAGAGGCAGGCGGAAUUCCUAGUGUAGCGGUGAAAUGCGUAGAUAUUAGGAAGAACACCAGUGGCGAAGGCGGCCUGCUGGACUGAAACUGACGCUGAGUCACGAAAGCGUGGGGAGCGAACAGG
rnacentral:rRNA from 1 species